rnacentral:rRNA from 1 species
UACAGAGGUCUCAAGCGUUGUUCGGAUUCAUUGGGCGUAAAGGGUGUGUAGGUGGCGCGCUAAGUCGGGUGUGAAAUUUCGGAGCUUAACUCCGAAACUGCAUUCGAUACUGGCGUGCUUGAGGACUGGAGAGGAGACUGGAAUUUACGGUGUAGCAGUGAAAUGCGUAGAUAUCGUAAGGAAGACCAGCGGCGAAGGCGGGUCUCUGGACAGUUCCUGACACUGAGACACGAAGGCCAGGGGAGCAAACGGG